rnacentral:rRNA from 1 species
CCUACGGGUGGCAGCAGUAGGGAAUAUUGCUCAAUGGGCGCAACCCUGAAGCAGCAACGCCGCGUGAGGGAUGACGGUUUUCUGAUUUUAAACUCCUUUUUUUAGAGAAGAAAAUGACGCCAUCUGACGAAUAAGCACCGGCUAACUCCGGGCAAGCAUCCGCGGUAAUAAGGCGGGGGCAAGCGUUACUCGGAAUCAUUGGGCGUAAAGAGCGCGUAGGCGGGAUAGCAAGGCAGAUGUGAAAUGGUAUGGGUUAAACAUCGAACUGCCGUUGAAACUGUUAUUCUGGAGUAUGGGAGAGGUAUGUGGAAUGCGUGGUGUAGGGGUGAAAUGCGUAGAGAUCAAGAGGAACACUCAUUGCGAAGGC